rnacentral:rRNA from 1 species
AACGAACGCUGGCGGCAGGCCUAACACAUGCAAGUCGAGCGAGGACUUCGGUCCUAGCGGCGAACGGGUGAGUAACGCGUGGGAACGUGCCCUUUGCUACGGAAUAGCCCCGGGAAACUGGGAGUAAUACCGUAUGUGCUCGAGAGAGGAAAGAUUUAUCGGCAAAGGAUCGGCCCGCGUUGGAUUAGGUAGUUGGUGGGGUAAUGGCCUACCAAGCCGACGAUCCAUAGCCGGUUUGAGAGGAUGAUCAGCCACACUGGGACUGAGACACGGCCCAGACUCCUACGGGAGGCAGCAGUGGGGAAUUUUAGACAAUGGGCGCAAGCCUGAUCUAGCCAUGCCGCGUGAGCGACGAAGGCCUUAGGGUUGUAAAGCUCUUUCAGGUGGGAAGAUAAUGACUGUACCACCAGAAGAAGCCCCGGCUAACUCCGUGCCAGCAGCCGCGGUAA